GAUGAACGCUGGCGGCGUGCUUAACACAUGCAAGUCGAACGGGCUUUAUGUGAUUUAUCAUAUAGAGUUAGUGGCGGACGGGUGAGUAACACGUGAGCAACCUACCUUUUGCAGGGGAAUAACACUGGGAAACCAAUGCUAAUACCGCAUAUUGUACUUGUGAGGCAUCUUACGGGUAUGAAAGGAGCAAUCCGGCAGAAGAUGGGCUCGCGUCCGAUUAGGCAGUUGGUGGGGUAAGGGCUCACCAAACCGAGGAUCGGUAGCCGGACUGAGAGGUCGGACGGCCACAUUGGGACUGAGACACGGCCCAGACUCCUACGGGAGGCAGCAGUGGGGAAUUUGGGCAAUGGGGGGAACCCUGACCCAGCGACGCCGCGUGAAGGAAGAAGGCCUCGGGUUGUAACUUCUUUGUAGGAGGGACGAAGAUGACGGUACCGUCCAGAACAAGCCACGGCUAACUACGUGCCAGCAGCCGCGGUAAAGUAGUAGUGUACGUAGUAGACGGCGUGGCGAGGAC
rnacentral:rRNA from 1 species